AGGACGAACGCUGGCGGCGUGCUUAACACAUGCAAGUCGAGCGAGGCCUCCCCUUCGGGGGAGUGCCCUAGCGGCGAACGGGUGAGUAACACGUGGGCAACCUGCCCCUAGCACUGGGAUAACUCCGGGAAACCGGGGCUAAUACCGGAUAUGACCUUUGAGGGCAUCCUCUUUGGUGUAAAGGAUUCUGGCUAGGGAUGGGCCCGCGGCCUAUCAGCUUGUUGGUGGGGUAAUGGCCUACCAAGGCGACGACGGGUAGCCGGCCUGAGAGGGCGACCGGCCACACUGGGACUGAGACACGGCCCAGACUCCUACGGGAGGCAGCAGUGGGGAAUAUUGCACAAUGGGCGAAAGCCUGAUGCAGCGACGCCGCGUGAGGGAUGACGGCCUUCGGUUGUAAACCUCUUUCAGUACCGACGAAGCGAAAGUGACGGUAGGUACAGAAGAAGCACCGGCCAACUACGCGCCAGCAGCCGC
rnacentral:rRNA from 1 species